AGCAGCCGCGGUAAUUCCAGCUCCAAUAGCGUAUAUUAAAGUUGUUGCAGUUAAAAAGCUCGUAGUCGAAUCUCGAGAUCAAAUUGUUGGUCGUGCCUUGGUACGCACUGGCAUUAUUGGUUUCUCCCUUCUGACGAACCAUGAUGUCAUUAAUUUGGUGUCUUGGGGAAUCAGGACUGUUACUUUGAAAAAAUUAGAGUGUUUAAAGCAGGCUCACGCUUGAAUACAUUAGCAUGGAAUAAUGAAAUAGGACGUUUGAUUCUAUUUUGUUGGUUUCUAGGAUCGACGUAAUGAUUAAUAGGGAUAGUUGGGGGCAUUAGUAUUCAAUUGUCAGAGGUGAAAUUCUUGGAUUUAUUGAAGACUAACUACUGCGAAAGCAUUUUGCCAAGGAUGUUUUCAUUAAUCAAGAACGAAAGUUAGGGGAUCGAAGACGAUCAGAUACCGUCGUAGUCUUAACCAUAAACUAUGCCGACUAGGGAUCGGAUGAUGUUAAUUUUUUUAAUGACUCAUUUCGGCGCCU
rnacentral:misc_RNA from 1 species